rnacentral:rRNA from 1 species
UUCGCAAUGCCCGAAAGGGUGACGAAGCGACGCCGCGUGUGGGAAGAAGGCCUUCGGGUUGUAAACCACUGUCGGGAGUUAAGAAAGGUAAGGGUGUUAAUAGUAUCCUUACUUGACCAAGGCUCCGGAGGAAGCCACGGCUAACUCUGUGCCAGCAGCCGCGGUAAUACAGAGGUGGCAAGCGUUGUUCGGAAUUAUUGGGCGUAAAGAGCACGUAGGCGGCUUUGCAAGUCAGCUGUGAAAGCCUUCUGCUUAACGGGAGAACGGCAGUUGAUACUACAGGGCUUGAGUGCGGAAGGGGAGAGUGGAACUUCUGGUGGAGCGGUGAAAUGCGUAGAUAUCAGAAGGAACACCGGCGGCGAAAGCGACUCUCUGGUCCGUAACUGACGCUGAGGUGCGAAAGCUAGGGGAGCAAACGGGAUUAGAUACCCCGGUAGCCCUAGCCGUAAACGAUGGGCACUAAGUAGAGGGGUUUU